rnacentral:lncRNA from 1 species
AAAAAAACUGAUAUAAAGUACAUAUAUCAUAUCGUUUUAUUUUAUAUAUUUUUUUCCAGCGAAGAGGUCAUAGAUGAACCUUCACACAGAGAGUAUAAAUGUUUGUAAACAAAGGAUGUUUUCAUAUGGUAUUUCCAAUUAUGAAAAUAACAAUUACUUCAUGUAAUGGACUUUGUAUCAACCUUCGUCAUAUUUUUAUGAGCUACUUUCAAUAGACAACAUUUUAGAUAUAAGAAAAUCACAAACUUGCAUAGAUACAAUUGGAUAUUUUAUCGGUUUUCCCUGCGAAUUUACUUUCCUAAUCAGAUCUUUGUAACAUGCCAUACGACAGCUUUGUGGUAUACUAAUUAAGUGCUUGACUUAGCCUUUACAACUUUAUUGUGUAUUGUGUAUUGCAGACUUGCUUGAAAACUUAUAUUAAUUAUAGAUAUGAAGUUUGUGAGUGAAUUCUAUACAUUUUUGAUAUCGUAUAAACAAUGUGUACAUCCUGUAGUAUCUGAACCUAAAUGGUCGGCAGUGUUGACAUUUAUUACUUCCACUGAGCAAAGACUUUGUUCUAUUAUUAUUGUCAAAUAAGAUAAUAUAAUAAAUAUACUCUAAUACUGAUGAAUUUUAUACAAAAAAUGUAUUCAUUUUGUUUGUCUUCAUGAAAGUUCAAACACUUUUUUGCUGCUCUUAAAAAAGCAAUUACAUCGAAUCGCAGUGAAAUUUGAACACCUACUUCUGUGUAACAAAAGUUGAUUAAAUAAAUAAACUCAUCAUAGCUACCGGGAUUAAAUUUUAUUUUUACACCAGACUCGCGUUUCGUCUACACCAUGUACAAAAGACUCAUCAGCUCGAAUCCAAUAAAGUUAAAAAGGCCAUAUAAAGUACGAAGUUGAAGAGCAUUGAGGACCAAAAUUCCCGAAAGUUUGCCAAAUACAGCUAAGGUAAUCUAUUCCUGAGGUAGAAAAGCCUUAGUAUUUCGAAAGAGUUAAUUUAUAAAUAUGACCAUAUCAAUGAUAAUUCAUGUGAGCUCAUUAAUUAAACACAUUCCUUUAUGCCACUACGAGGCCUAUAUUUUUUGUCAAUACCAUACCGAUGAGGUCCCAGUGUCAUUUGUAAUACAUACAUAUUGUGGCAGUAUGAACAACAAGAGGAACAUAUUGUAUUGAACAAAUUACUAUAAAUCCAUAUAAAUAGUAGUAGCUUCCGGGGUAUUUUCUCGGGUAAAUCAUCCUCAUUUGUUUUAAAAUGUCCUGUACCAAGUCAGGAAUAUGGCCAUUGUUAUAUUAUAGUUCGUUUCUGUGUGUGUUACAUUUUAACGUUGUGUUUCUGUUGUGUGGUUUGUUUCCUCUUAU